CUCUCCCCCGCGCUUCCCUUCAACGCCGCCUCCCUAAAGAUCCACCGCUUCUCUGCCCUCUGCUCGUCGAUUCGGCGCCUCCUCUCCUUCACGCGCCCACGCUGUCGUCGCCUCCUCCUCACUGUUGUCCAUGCCGCUGUAGCCGCCUACGGCCAUGGCCGCUGGAGCCAGCGACUAUUUGACGGUGGAGUACCACUCCAGAGACUCCCCUCUUUCCCCUCCGACGACGAGAGAGCCACCGGCGGCAGCGGCGUCCUCGUACACCACGGUGGGCACGGUGGGCGAUCUUCUCAUGAAGUGGUGGUAGUGCCUCGUGGACGUCGACGGAGACGCGGCGUGCCUGCCCCUCGUCCUCCUGCUCCUUGUCUUCUCCGCCGCCCCGUCUCCGGCUGACGGCUGCGAUCGCUGCGUGCGCCGGUCCAAGGCCACCUAUUACCAGGCCUCCUCGCUCGCCCUCAACGCCGGGUCGUGCGGGGUACGGCUCCUUGGCCGCGUCCUUCAACGGCGGCCUGCUCGCCGCAGCCAGCCCCGAGCUGUACAGGGGCGCCGUCGGCUGCGGCGCCUGCUUCCAGGUGCGGUGCAGGGACAGCGAGCUGUGCAUGUGACGGACCAGGCGCGGACGUCAAACCGCACGACCCUGGUGCUGAGCGCCGCGGCGUACGCGGCCAUGGCCAGCGCCGGCAAGGCCGCACGCCUCAGGGACCGGCGCGUUGUCGAUGUCGAGUACAAGAGGGUACCUUGCGGGUACAUGAAGGACCGCAACCUAUCGAUACGCGUGGAGGAGAAGAGCCGGCCGCCAAGCAACCUAUCCAUCAGGUUCCUGUACCAGGGCGGCCAGACCGACACCGUCGCCGUCGACAUCGCCACUGUGGGGUCGUCCAACUGGCGGUUCAUGGCGCGGGACCAUGGGCCGGCGUGGAGCACGACGCAGGCGCCGCCGGGGCCGCUGCAGUUCCGGCUGGUGGUGACAGGUUGCUAUGACGGCAAGUGGGUGUGGGCGGAGUUGGAGGUGCUGCCGCGCCGGUGGGAGGCCGGCCGCGUCUACGACGCCGGGGUGCAGGUCUCCGACGUCUCGCGGGAAGGGUGCUACCUCUGCGACACGCACAAGUGGCAGUGACGCGCGCACGAGCUGGAUUGUACAGUUUUUUGUUUUGGUCGGGAAUGGGACGAAAGAUAUGAAAUGAUGAUGAGCGGAGCCGGAGAGCCGAAUCAAAUCUAUUAAUCGGUGGCGCUGGAAGGGUGCUGCCGUCGAUUCCUCUACCGGUGGCACUGGAACACAAGUAACCGGCAGUUGCCGACCAUUACCAAGAUCUCUAAAGGGCUUAGAUUAAUUAGAUAAUCCAGCAUAAGCACAAAACGUUAAUCUCAAAUCUAUUAGCAGAUAUAAUAUUGUUUGUGUGACAUUGUACUGUUUUGUUUCUUAAACAAACGUCAUUCUAC